AUUGAACGCUGGCGGCAGGCCUAACACAUGCAAGUCGAGCGACGGGCGGGUGGGUGAGGAAUGGAUGUGGGCUGCCCGUUAGAGGGGGAGUACUACUGGGAACGCUAACUACUACCGCAUACUAGCGGAUAACCCCUAUGUGAUUAGCUAGUAGGUGUGGUAUUGGCUCACAUAGGCGACGAUGCCUAGCUGGACUGAGAGGAUGAUCAGCGACACUGGGACUUAGACACGGCCCAGACUCCAACGGAGGCAGCAGUGGGGAAUAUUGCACAAGGGGAGCAAGCCUGAUACAGCCAUGCCGCGUGUAUGAAGAAGGCCCUAAGGUUGUAAAGUAGUUUCAGUCGGGAGGCGUUAGCGGGAGAAGAAGCACCGGCUAACUCCGUGCCAGCAGCCGCGGUAAUUC
rnacentral:rRNA from 1 species